AACGAACGCUGGCGGCAUGCCUAACACAUGCAAGUCGAACGAGACCUUCGGGUCUAGUGGCGCACGGGUGCGUAACGCGUGGGAACCUGCCCUUAGGUUCGGAAUAACUCCCCGAAAGGGGUGCUAAUACCGGAUAAUGUCUUCGGACCAAAGAUUUAUCGCCUUUGGAUGGGCCCGCGUUGGAUUAGCUAGUUGGUAGGGUAAAAGCCUACCAAGGCGACGAUCCAUAGCUGGUCUGAGAGGAUGAUCAGCCACACUGGGACUGAGACACGGCCCAGACUCCUACGGAAGGCAGCAGGGGGGAAUAUUGGACGAUGGGCGAAAGCCUGAGCCAGCAAUGCCGCGUGAGUGAUGAAGGACUUAGGGUUGUAAAGCUCUUUUACCCGGGAUGAUAAUGACAGUACCGGGAGAAUAAGCUCCGGCAAACUCCGU
rnacentral:rRNA from 1 species